GAGACAAGAAAAUCUUCUGAUAAGAAAAUGGAAGUCAAUAACAACUGAUACCAAUAAUGCAAUCUACUGCCACACGAGAAGGAGAUGAGGAAGUGUCCCGACCUUGAGAUAUCAUGGAGCCUUCAUUAGUUAUUUGUGUAGUAAAUAUAAUUUUUGUACCUGUGUUCUCCACUUGUUUUUUGUUUUUUUUCUUUUUUUUCUAGAGCUAAGUAGUAGGUACGAGACUAGAGAUAUAUGGAAAGAAGGAGGAAGCAUCUCCUUGCCUUUUUCUCUCCUUGCUGGAACCAAUGUAUGCAAAUAGACCCUUUUCUAUCCUGUUGCUAGGGAGACAGAACAAAACAUGGCUCAACAUUUACUCACUGUUACCACCUGUUUCCCUGUUGACAUGCACUGUAGUCACUGGACUUUGAAAUGGAUUAAGGCGAUCCCUGAUGAAGGUACUGAGGAAGUUGGUAAGCUGACACUCCCAUUUCUAAUUUUAAAUAACAUCUUUGCUUAAAGAGGCAAAACAAUUACAAAAAGAGAUGAAAAUAUGAAAAGUUUAUGAAGGUGAGUAACAAAAUACUCAAAUUAUAAAAAUAAAAAUACAGUAACUAAAAUUAAGAACUUCAUAUGAGUGAAUAAUAGUGAAUAAUACAUAGAAAGAUCAACAGCUAAUAUUACAGAGAUAAAUCAUUGAAAAUCUAUAUUUGAGACAUUAAGGAAACAGUAAAGAUCUGAACAUAUUUGGAAUUAGAAUCUGCAAAGUAGAAGAAAGAGAGACAAAUGGGGUCAAAGCAGUAUCUGAGGAAAUAAUGACUGAGGAUUUUCCAAAAUUGAUGAAGACCUCAAACAAUUAAAUUCUGAAGCCUUAAGAUUUCAUGGAGCUUACCUUGCUAGAUUUUGAACUUGAUCGGGACCCAUUUACCCCUUCCUUCUUUCUUGUUACUCCUUUGUGAAAUGGGAGUGACUAUCCUCUACCUGUAUAACCACUGUAUUUUGUAUAACGUGUUCAAUUACGCAGGUUCACAGCUGGAGAGGAAUUCUGCCUCAGGAUGAAUUAUACUUCAAGUCUUGCUUAUAUCAGAUUUAGGUAUUUAGAUGAGACUUGAGACUUUAAAGUUAUUACUGGAAUGUGUUAAGCCUUUCAGAGCUGUUGGGAUGAAAUGAAUAGAUUUUUCAUGUGAGAAGGAUAUGAAUUUUGGGGCAGGUCAGGGGCAGAAGACAUUAGACUGAAUAUGUCUACCUCAAAAUUUAUAUGUUGAAAACCUAAUCCCAGUAAGAUGGCAUUUGGAAAUGGGACCUCUGGGAGAUAAUUAGACCACGGGGUGGAGCCCUCAUGAAUGGCAUUAGUGCCCUUAUAAAAGGCCAGAGAGCUAACUAGUGAGUGAGUACUUCUGCAACCCAGAAAAGGGCUCUCAGCAGAACCAACCAUGGUGGUACUCUGAUCUUAGAUUUCCCAGCCUCCAGAACUGUGAAAAAAUAUUUCUAUUGUUUAGAAGUCGCCUAGUCUAUAAUACAUUGUUAUAGAAACCCAAACUGACUAAUGCAGACUUCUUCAGUAAGAAUAAUCCCCAAGAGAAACACUGGAAAUGUAGGAAGGCAUGAAAGACAAAAGGCUACAUAUGUAGGUAAUCAUAGUGGUGUACAAAACAAUGAUAUUAAGAUCUAGUAGGAUUCACAAAAUGAGUAGAAUUAAAAUGUAAAACAACAAUAAUGUAAAAGGCAGAAGAGUGGAGUUGAAGUAUUCCAUGUUUUUAUCAUUAUUGGGAGGAUGAUAAAAGUAGCAAUUCAAAUUAGGCUUUAUUAAUUUAAAAGAGCAUAUUGUAAUCCGUUGUAUAGCCAAUAAGAACAAUAAAAUAAUAUUAAAUAGAAAUUUUACAGUAAGAAAAUAAA
ensembl:lncRNA